rnacentral:ncRNA from 1 species
GGUAGUAGCAAAUAUUCGAACGAGACCUUCGAAGACCGAAGUGGAGAAAGGUUCCGUGCUAACGGCGGUCGAGCACGGGCCAGUCGGUCCUAAGAAGCGGGUGAAAGCUUCAAAAGGCGGCGAGCUGGUAGAAACGUUAGCACGCCGGGCGAAAUGCUUAGCGGUAUUUCGUCUGCUGCUACGUUCUCAGUUCAAAUUCCGCCGAGGUCGACUUUGCCUUUCAUCCUUUUGGGGUCGAUAAAUUAAGUACCAGUUACGCACUGGGGUCGAUGUAAUCGAUUUAAUCCCUUGUUUGUCCCCUCUAUGUUUAGCCUCUUGUGGGCAGUAAAGAAAUAAGAAAGUGAGGUCUUCUGUAGCAAGAUAAUGCAAGACCUUGUGCCACUUGAACAACCCAGAAUAAACUCCAGGAACUUGAGGGGAUCGAACUGAUGCAGCACCCAGCAUAUAGUC